AUUGUAUAAAGGUAAGGUGUUCGAACUAUCGAGAGGUUAAAAAGUUGGUAUAGUUAGCGCAUCGGUUUAUGUAAUUGUAUGAAGGUAAGAUGUUUGAACCAACGAAUUGUACAAUAGGCGUUCAUGUUAGCGCACCGAAGUAAGUACUUCUAGAAAGGUUUGUUGUUUGAACCCCCGAGAGAGGUUAAAUAGGCUUGAUAUCAAAUCCACUGGUCUUUUUUUAUUUUUAGUAAUGUAAAGGUGAACAUGUUUGAUUAAUCGCGUUGUUUUUUUGCGGAUGGUAUACGCACUUGUGUCUGUUAUUUUAGGGAGGUUUUCGUAUCAAAUCCAAAGUAGAAACAUUGGCGUGAUGAUAAGUUAAGCGCACUGGUCUUUGUAUAAAUGAUGCUCUAUUGAUAUAUUAAAAAUCAUUAAGUAUACUUUUUUAUACUGUGUAUCUAUUGAUUAAAAUGCGUUGCUUAAAUUAUAAAUAAAUAGUUUAAGUCAUUCAUAGUUUUUUCUACUUAAAGGAACAAGCAGUUGUUAAGGCACAGCUUUCAUCCCAGGAAGACCAUAUCAAGUGGACUCAACCAACUGGAACAUUUGAUGUCAAGAUCAGUAAUGUUGUUUGGGGUUCAAUCGAUUUGAUUUUUACUUUCCCAUAUGGCAUUCAAUAGACGCACCAUCCGUCCCCGGGAAACCUGUAUAAAGGCGGCACGUUCAAAGGACGCUUGAGUCGCUACUCUGAUGGCGGCGUUCAAGAGAGGGCUUUUGUUCACCUUUGGGAAGGAAGGAAAAGUUGUCCUGGAUGGCGUCUCAUUGUAUGAUGGUUUAGUGUAUGCUGACGGAGGAGGUGGUACAUUAGACUACAAUGAAUAUCGACAUACAUUGAAAGCGGAACUGUCAGCCAAGGGUAUCACAAAGGCGGACAUAGAUCAGACGGAGGAACUGUUCGAGACCUUGACUGUCGAUGGUCGGUAACUUGCAUAAGUGCUGUGUUGUCGAAGAACUUACAUCAAAUGCUAAUGUCAUAUAUUCAAACAAAUGCCUGCUGUUAUUGUAUAUAGAAUGUAUAUAACAUGGCAUGCUAACUUGGAACUUUUCUCCCUACCAUCGAGGUUGCUUUUGUGCCUUUAGUGAACUUAGCUUUGAAAUGCUCGUCUAUUAAAGGGAUAGUAAUGGUUAGACUAAACUCUUCGUAAUCGCAUUGAUUUGUUUCAAUACAAACCAUGAUUUAAUUUGUCGAGUUUACCUCGGAUAAUUUUAAUAUUUUAAGAUCAUUAUAAAUAAUAAUUGCUUUAUUGACAUGUGAUUCUUUAUGGAAACAUUUGUAUAAUGUAUAAUGUAUACGAUAUCGAAUAAAUAGAUAUGUUGUGAUUUUGCAAUUUGCAUGUAAAUUAUUUAUCUUUUCUAUGUUUAGAAACGUUUUAUCGCUAUAAAAGCUUAUGUUUCAAAUAGUAUAGGAAUUCGACAAGUAAACAAAUGCUGACUUGACUUAAAGAUUCCGUGUUAAAAAUAACUGUUCGUGGUGGUAGCUGGUGUUUUUAUGAGAUGUUUUUAUCAUACUUGGAACAGAAAAAUGUUGUUAUUACCUAGGGUACAAAUUACUACGUUUGAUGAUUGUUUUUUUAUACUACAUUCUCAGGUUUUAACUUUUCCUAACGAAGAAGCUAUAUUUCGGAGUGAUUUGCUGAAGAAAGCAGAACAAGCAUGAACCGUGCGUACAAUGCUAAUCAUAUUAUAUCCGCAAUGUUAUGACAUGUUGUUCAUACAAUAGUUUUAAAAGAUUGAACGUGCUAUGUAAAUCUAUGGAAUUUUAAUAUUUGUUUAGUCCACUAUAAGAAUUACCCAGAACAAUUUAGACAAAAGUUAUUAAUUCGUUUGUCUGUUUCUUUGAUGCUCUGUUGUCUGUCCCUCGUAAAGUGAAAGCUAAACAUCAACCUUUUGCAUUAUAUUCAGGAAUAAAGAUUUCUAUCAUGUGUUUCCGGGUCCGAAUAGAAAAAUCCAAGAGGGAUCCCGAGGACCCGCGCGUACAGCCGUUAACGAGGCUUGUCAUGUUACCGGCCAUUAAGUGAGCCGGAAAGUCGGAUUUUUUUGUUCGGGAGAUAAAACAUGAUUUGUAUUUCUUAAAUACUUACAAUUAUAAAAGUGUUGAAAACUGGCGUAGAUAAGGCAUGCUUGUCACCAAAAACAUGAGCGAUGUUGCUUAAUGAAAUCAUGACGCGUAGUAACUUCAGAUCACUGUUGGUGUCAAAUAGUUGACUUGUUAUUGCCUUUAAAUUAUAAUUCUUGCGUAAAUAUACAUUUGAUUUUGUGUUAUUGAAGACAUAACAUACUUUUAUCUAACCAUACAAUAACUUAGAUAAGAAGUUUUGAAGCUCAUGACUCUUUUGGCAUGGGGUGCCAGAUCGGAUAUUUCAAGCAUGCUUAUACUCACCGGACAUGCGUAUCCGGUGUGCAAUAAAAAGAUUGUGGCUGUCAUUUUUCCCUGUAAUUUCAUAUUAUUAUUUGUUUGGCAAUACAUUAUUUGAAUGGUAUAUAUAGUAUACUAUUUAUUUGUAAUUUUGUUGUUUUAGAAUGUAAUUAUUUUUCAUGCGCUAUGUGUGCGUUUAUUGUUUAUUGUUUAUUGUUAUUGGUGUUAACAAUCAUGAAUAACAAUACUAUGACAUUUACCCGUGUACAAGAUAUAAAUACACACAAACGUAUUGCGUUUGUUCACAAUGUCAUGUUUCGAAUGCUCACAUUUAAAAACAAAACAAAAGCUAUAAAUGUUCAUAUAGAUGGUACAAUGGAAACUACAGGCGCACGUCACACAGUCAAUUCCCCAACUUUGCAUUGUUCAAGGCACAAUACUUAAUCAAUAAUUAACAACAUAAACGCGUCCUUACAAGACAAUGGCUAUUUUUCUUUACAUUUUUUAAUAUCAAUGCAUGGUGUGUUAACAUAUGUUUAAUGGUCAGUGAGAACAGGUGUUUGCUUUGUGUUCAGGCCACAUCUUGAAUGCUUGACCACAAAUAUCUCAAACGUAAUUUGUUAGUUUGCUAUAUCAUUGGUAAAAUUCCGGGAAGAGUUGUGUUAUGAAUUAUUUGUUAUUCUUAUUGCCUUGCAGGUAUUAUCGUGUAUAUCACUUUUAUCUCUGAUUGUGUACGACAAUUCUCCAGAUACUACUCACUUUUACAAUCAGAAAGUUUAAUUUCUAGCGUAUUAUAUAAGCUUAAUCAUCUACGCCCAAUCAUAAUACUAUUUUAAACGGUUAAGUUAGCUACUGAUACUAGUAAAUAAAUGCAAGGUAAAUAAAUGCAGUAUAUACGUGACAAACUUUGAAAUAAAAACACGCAGUACUGCUAUGAAAUUUAAUA